GACAAAAGAAAAAUUAUGUAAAUCCGGGCCAGGCACAGUGGCUCACGCCUGUAAUCCCAGCACUUUGGGAGGCCAAAGCGGGCAGAUCAUGAGGUCACGAGAUCAAGACCAGCCUGACCAACACGGUGAAACCCCCUCUCUACUAAAAAUACAAAAAUUAGCUGGGCAUGAUGGCAUGCACCUGUAAUCCCAGCUACUUGGGAG
rnacentral:lncRNA from 10 species